rnacentral:rRNA from 1 species
GACGAACGCUGGCGGCGUGCUUAACACAUGCAAGUCGAACGGAAAGGCCCUGCUUUUGUGGGGUGCUCGAGUGGCGAACGGGUGAGUAACACGUGAGUAACCUGCCCUUGACUUUGGGAUAACUUCAGGAAACUGGGGCUAAUACCGGAUAGGAGCUCCUGCUGCAUGGUGGGGGUUGGAAAGUUUCGGCGGUUGGGGAUGGACUCGCGGCUUAUCAGCUUGUUGGUGGGGUAGUGGCUUACCAAGGCUUUGACGGGUAGCCGGCCUGAGAGGGUGACCGGCCACAUUGGGACUGCGAUACGGACCAGACUCCUACGGGAGGCAGCAGUGGGGAAUAUUGCACAAUGGGCGGAAGCCUGAUGCAGCAACGCCGCGUGCGGGAUGCCGGCCUUCGGGUUGUAAACCGCUUUCGCCUGUGACGAAGCGUGAGUGACGGUAAUGGGUAAAGAAGCACCGGCUAACUACGUG